GCUCGUCACAUCACAGCGCCAUCAUCGCUGACUGUGCGCGCGCGCAGAGACAGGAAGGUCCAGUUCCCAUAUUCUGCAUCAAGCCCGCGACUUGAACGCGCGAAUACGGCCGACUAGGCGACGAACCGAGCUGUGUUUACUCGCGUGAUUCCGUCACCGUCCGUCACCCUGUUCAAGUCGCGUUCGAAACGAAAAAAAUGUAACACCGCGUUUGGCCGUGACCAAAGGCGCGAAGGAGGAGUUUGCUGACAGUUCGGACAACGAACCUGGAUUAGAAUCGAUCGAUCCGUAUGGAGUGACCGCAAAAGGAUUGACACGUUCCGGACGAUUUUGGAUAAGAAUUCCGGGGGCCAGUGAAGAAUGUGAGUGGGUGCAGAUCAAUCAUACUUAGUGUUGGCUAGAAUCACGGUGUGUAACGUUCGUGUGGAAAAUAAAAAUAAUAAUAAAGAAUAAAUAAUUGUAGGAAAAAAAUUCUACACCCCAGAAGUUGGUCAUUGGUCAGUGGGAAGUUCUAGAAGAGAGAGAAAAAAAAACAUCGAAGAUCAAUCGUCAACUCGCGAUGGCUUGAAGAAUCCAGUUCUGGUCGAGAACUGGAGCCGUGAAUACGUGUGACAAAGUGACACGGAAGCCGAGGUUCCCCGCGAUAGUUGUGAAACGUGAAAUAGUGAAAAA